UCUGGCGCGUUCUCCACCCCGCUCUGUGCCUGUGUGUCUCUGUCGAAGCGUAAAAUAUUAUGUCAUUAUCAAGGAAACGCAAUAAAUUUCUCUGGACGCGCGUUAGUCAAAUUUCAAUACAAUAAAAGAAAUACAAGAGACUGAAAAAAAAACACAAGUUAACGCGCUGAAGUUGAACCUGCCCGACUUGGAGAUACCCGACCCACCUCGCUGGCUCAAGGGCACGCGUUGCUUACUAAGUGCGAGUAACCAACGGCGAAGCUCCGCGCGAUGAGUCAUCUUUGAGGCAGCCACAAAUCAAGCUCGAGCUGCAGCUGGAGCUGAGCCAAGGCCAGUUAAGGUCUUGAAACUUUUCUGGCAUUUGAUUAAUUGGAAACGCGCUAGUGUGUGCAUACACCUACACACUCACACAUACACGCACACACACAGUAAUUUACUGUUAGAUAAUUAGCAAAAUAUGUACAAAUAU